rnacentral:misc_RNA from 1 species
GCAAACUUGGUCAUUUAGAGGAAGUAAAAGUCGUAACAAGGUAACCGUAGGUGAACCUGCGGUUGGAUCAUUACUGAAAAGGACCCGGGAAUCUGCCUUGACUGACGGAAGCGAUGUCACAUUCUUAACAAGUUUGUCCUCAUGGGGGGCUGACUAGACAACAUGGAAGUCUGACCGAAUGGCAGACGGCCUUGGGGUCAGCAGCUGAUGUCUCUUCCUGAUGUCGGUUGACUCGUGGUAAGCAAAAACAUUUUGUGAACUGUUUUGUCUCUGGCGGCGGGGCGAGGAGUGGCACAUUUGUGCUGGUGUCCUCGCCUGUCAGCUUGGUAUCAAUGAUCCAGGCCGUGGACAAACCGCCAAACAUGUGAACCUUUGUUUACAAUUUUUGACUGAAAUCAAUUUGUAUGAAUGUACAAACAACUUUUGGCAACGGAUCUCUUGGCUCUCGCAUCGAUGAAGAACGCAGC